GGACGUAAGUCAUUAAAGCGACCGUGCUAGAACCACGGGACUCGAGGGGUGCCUAACACCUUCCCCUCGGUCAACAGAAUUCCUUAUCCGGAUUUCUAGUUCGCAGAUCGAAAAAUAAAAAUUAAAGAGUCAUUUUCUUUUUGAAUAGGGAUUCAAUAAGGUGACUUAGAACACCCAAACUCAAUUCCAAGUGGCGACUCUGUAAAUAAAAUAGUCCCUUUUCAAAACGUCACUUUAAUUGGAAAGACCCAUUUUUCUCCAAAACCAACUCCCUAGCGGGGGUCGGACGCGGCGAAAAAGCGGGGUGUGACAGGUACCGGAGCACCCAAAAAUUAUGUGUAGGUCCGCCCCUGAUCCCAACCUUAUUAGAAUUAUUUACACUCUCUCCCACUUCCUUAAUUACUUUGCUCUCUCUCCCGAUUCAUAUACAUAACAAAACCGAUAUAUACAUAGAAACCUUUGUAUAUGAUAAGGCCGCGCGACAUAUACAUAACAAGGCCGAUUCAUAUACAAAACAAGUAUGACAACGUCGACAUAUACAUAACAAGGCCGAUUCAUAGACAAAACAAGUAUGACAACGUUGACAUAUACAUAACAAGACCGACAUAUACAUAACAAAGCCGAUUCAUAUACAUAACAGGAACGACAUAUACAUAUAUUUUUUUUAAAAAAUGAGAUUUUUGUAAUAAGUGAAACUUAAGUUGUGUGUUUGUGUAGAAUGGAUUAAUGGUUCACAUAUCUAUUAAAGAGCCCAAUUUCGUCACGAGGGGAGCCAUGUGAUUAGGAGGUCACGUGUUUAAACUGUGAAAACAACCCCUUGCAGAAAUAUAAAAUAAGAUUACGUACAAUAAAUUUUUAUGGUCCGACCAUUUCCUGGACCCCGCAUUCAUACUCUAAAAGGGAGCAAGUGGGCUUUAUUAGAAAUGGGCUACAUUUUGUGUAUACCUGUCUGAUUUUGGGCUUCAUUGGGCCACAAAAUUACCACAGGUUGCUAUAUAAUUUGUCAUGGAUGAUAAUUGUUACUCAUUUGAUACUGAACCAACCGAUAUCUUAUUGGUUGGAUGAGUUAGUACAUUUAAAUAUCAAUCUCUACUUUGUUACAUACAAUAUUCAAUUAUAUUGUCAACCUAAGGUAGAGAAUUAAUCGAUAUGUACUUAAGUAGGCGUUUGGUCAUGAAUAUUAUUCACAAUAUUUUCAAAUACGUUUUUACUUUAUUUCAAAAUAAUUAUUUUGCCAUAAAUAUUUCGAAAUACGUUUUCACAAUAUUUGAAUUUUUGAAAAUUAUCUCAAGACAAGAGGUGUUUUCACUAUUUUUGGUUUCAACUUAUGCACAUUUUAAUUAAUUUAUUUUUUUAAAAAAUAUUUAAAUUCUAAAUAUUAACUUCAAAAUACUAUGACCGAAUACAACUCCAACUCAAUUUUCAACUUCAAAAAUACUAAAAUAAAUAUGUUUUUGAUUUUCAUGACCAAAUGAGUCAUUAAGAAUGACUUUGAGAUCCAAAAAGGUAAUAGGGGUAUUCUUGGAUCAAACUAUCGAUAAUAACAGGUGAAUUUUGGGAUCAAAUUAUUAUUAUAGGACAUUUUUGUUCAAUUUCAUAUAAUUUAGAGGUUAUAUAUUUUGAGUAUUUUUGUAUAUUUUAUUUAUCAAAAGGUACAAUGGGUGAAUUAUUUGUUUCUUUUGAUUUGCCACGAUGUUUGGCACUCAUUUCUCUCCAAAAGUUCUAGAUGUUUCAUAUCAAAGUCGACUCUCUUCUCGUACCUCGAACCCUAAAAAUUCAGACCAAGGAUUGAGAAAUAUUACGAGCAUUGAUUACUGGGUGAUAUUAUUUGAUUAAUCUCUAAUGUAGUUUUCGUCGGUUCGAUAUGCUAAAAAUCAUAAUUUUCGUUUUUCUUGUACUUACAGUGACUUUUAUUGCUUAUAUUGGAACAAUUUGUCCACUUAGUCGAAGAAUUAUAAACUCCCAAUAUGCAAAGGAUAAACAAAAUAUAAAACCAAUAAUUUUUAUCAGCACUUUUUAUGCAACGUAGUUGAUUUAACCUAUGUAAAUAUAUAUAUAUAUAUAUUAGUUUUAAUUUAUUCAUAGGUACAUUUAAUUUAUAGCACACAUGCAUGUACGUGUAUUGAUGGGUGUUCUGAUUUACUACAAGCCAAUAAUAUAUAUCGUAAGCUACACUUUUAUUCAUAUUCUUUUUCUUCACACCAAACUAACACUUUUCUUCAUAUUAUUCAGAAACACACACAGAGCUUUGCUAGCUAGUUGAUAUGUUCUUCAAACUAGCUUGUUAUUAAGGGGAGAAGCAAAUACACAACAUAAACACACACACACACACACACAACAUAUUUGGAGCGAAUAAUCCAUUAUAUAUGUCCAUGGAUUAUAAAUAAUAUAUCAUGGCAGGAAGUUACAUGAACGAUGUCUUGUACCAUCUACUGACGUUGACCAUCCACAGUAUCAACAUAGAUUAAUGCCAGUGCAGGCAUUUGGAUCAUCUGGAUUACAAUUGCUGCCACAAAUAUAUCCCAUAACUUGCAAUUUUAAAGUUCCAGGCAUAUCAACUGCAUGCAUAUAUAUAUAUAUAUCCAUCAACGUAAACUAUGAUCAAUAUAUAAAUGUACGUGUACAUAUGUAGAAACAUUGGAAAUUAAGGAAAAAAAAAAGUUUUAAAAGUUACGAACCAAUAGUCAUGGUCAACAGAACAAGGAAGAAAAUAGCAAACUUGUUCACUGCAGCAGCCAUAUUUUGCAAAUUAAAGCUAAUUUGGAUUAUAUUGCUGUGUGCUGAUUUCUUUCAUGAAGAAGGGUCAUAUUUAUAAGCCCCUAUAUAUGUACACUAAUAUUAAUUAAUAAAAUGCCAUUUUUAUCGUUUUAAAAAAAAAAAAAAUGAAGAAAUUAGAAGUGCAUGUUGUAUAUUUUGAAUGACUCGAAGCUCACAUGGGCAUAAUAUUAUGAAGAUAAAUAUUUAGAUACUGAAUCAUCAAAAUCCAUCGAAGUUGUCAUGUAAUCUUUUCAUUUCUUUCUUCAAACUUGACUUAUGUAUAUAAUCUAUAUCUAUAAUCCAGAAUAUACUAAAAGUGUGAAUAUCUUUGAACCUUAUUCCCUUCAUUAAAAGUCUUUGUUUUAGAUAAAAUUAUUUUUUUACUAUUUCUUCCUAAUAUUUAAGAGUUAAAAAUUAAUUAAAUAUAUUUAUGGUAAAAUAUUUUCUUAUUAGAAGUCAUCGGAAUUUCACUAUUUUUUCCUCAUUUAACACUUGAAAAUUAAUUUAAAUAUAUUUAUGGUAAAACUUUUCUUUAUUAGAAGUCAUCAAAACUCGUGACAACUAAUACUUUUUCUAUUAAGAAUUCUAAAUCAACUAAAUUUGAUUUUAAGAACAUUUGAAAAAUCUAGAAAUAAAUAUAAAACGACUAGAAUAAGAAAAAAUUUAAGAAGUACCACAUUGUUAAAAGUUUUAAGUACGUAAUAAUAAUGUAAUCAAUGAUUUUGUAAGGAUUUGACUUUAAAAAUAAAGAAAGAUUUUGAAUAUAAAAAAAUAAUCGUAAUACAAAUAUAGUUCAAAUUGAUGUGUCUCUCUUAGCAUGUAACAAUAAGAAAAAAAGGUAUUAUAUGACAAAUGCAAAAGUGAUGAUCCAUCAACCACCUGAAACUUCUGGUGGCAAAAUAUAUAUGUGUAUAUGCCUAUGUUUACAUUAUCAUAUUAAAUUAUGAAAGAUUUUUGAAAAAUGAUUUGAACUUCUACACUUAAUUAAAAUCUCCGUACUGAACAAAAUCAUUUAAUUUUAAAUAAUCAACUAUUACACGAACAAAACACGUACGAUUAAACUAAAACUCGGAACCAAAAUCAGCCACAAAAUUUAAAAAGUGACCAUAAUAGGUCACUUAUUUAAAAAGUUACCAAAAUAGGCUAAAUGUAAUAAAUUAUUACGUUUUCCACUUUUUCUUAACGGUCAACACAGUUUGUAAAACGUAAUAAUUUAUUAUGUUUUAAAAACAGUGUUUGUAAAACAUAAUAAUUUAUUACGUUUUUCACAAAAGAUAAAAAAACAAAAAAUAGUGUGCUAUCACAUUUUCUUUAUGUCAAAUCACGUAGUUUGUAAUAAUUUACUGCAAACUACAAAUAAUGUUUGUAAGUUGUAAUAAAUUAUUACAACUUAUACCUUUAUACUUACCCACAUCACAUUAUCUUUACUUUAUCUACUUUUAAAUUUAACCCACGCCACCCUAC
rnacentral:lncRNA from 1 species